AUUGCAGAUUUAUUAUCUAGAAAUAAUAGUAGUAAAUAAUAAUAUUGAAUGAAUUUGAGAACGAAAUUAAUAUUAAAAGUGUAGUUUACUCCAUGUGUAAUUUCAUCCAAUGUGUUUCUUAUCAAUUCUUCUCAGUAUUAAACAUUAAUUAUUACUGGGUACACCCAUUCAAAACAUCCGACAAAUAUCCAUCCAAACACUUCUUUUCGUCCGAUUAUGGUAGUUUUCAUCCGCGAUUUUCCAGAUUUCCUUAUAAUUUUUUACUUUACCGAUAAAUAGCUCGAUGUAAACGUUUUAAAUUUCAGACAUUUUACGUCAAAAAAUCGGACGUGUACAUGAGUCGAUAAACAACAAUGUUCUGUGAACCGAAUUUGCAAGUGUGGUGACGUUGUUCAUAUAAAUCAUUAAAAACCAUAAUAUUCUACAAUAUAAAUAGCAUUUAAAUUUAUAAUAAUAUUUAAUAUGAAUUGUAUUAUCGACAUGAUCAGUAAAUUGUAAUUUUAUAAUAUUCAUAUACGUACAAAUUU